rnacentral:RNase_P_RNA from 1 species
UCAGGGGGCCGGGCAGCCGCGUGCGGGGUAACCCGUGUCGAGGAAAGUCCGGGCUCCACGAAGCAAGGGUGGCGGGUAACGCCCGCCCGGCGCAAGCCGAGGGAAAGUGCCACAGAGAGUAUACCGCCGAUGGAGGGAAACCUCACAGGCAAGGGUGAAAGGGUGCGGUAAAGGCGCACCGGGGCGCUGGCGACAGGGCCCGCAUGGCAAACCCCACCCGGAGCAAGGCCGAAUAGGGGCGGCGCGCCUUCGCGAAAGCGGGGCAGGUCUGUUUCGGACCCGACCGCCCGGGUUGGUUGCUUGAGCGCACGGAGCAAUCCGUCGCCCAGAUGAAUGGCUGCCACUGCCGAUACGGUCCGGCAUGUUCGGAUACCGUCGGCGGUACAGAACCCGGCUUACAGGCCCCCUGACACC